GUCCACGCCGUAAACUAUGAGAGCUAGACGUCGGGCGGCUUGCCGUUCGGUGUCGCAGCUAACGCAGUAAGCUCUCCGCCUGGGGAGUACGGCCGCAAGGUUAAAACUCAAAGGAAUUGACGGGGGCCCCGCACAAGCGGUGGAGCAUGUGGUUUAAUUCGAAGCAACGCGCAGAACCUUACCAUCCCUUGACUUGCCUGUCGCGGCCCGUGAGAGCGGGCUUUCAGUUCGGCUGGACAGUGCACAGGUGCUGCAUGGCUGUCGU
rnacentral:rRNA from 1 species